AGCUGACGCUCUCAGCCAAUCAGUGACUCCCCAUUCACUAAAUUUACUUGGAAGAAACUUAAAUUUUCCAAGACAGUUUAGUGAAUGCGGAGUCACUGGUUGGCUGAGAGCGUCAGCUAACUGCUUUUUUUUCUUAUUAUUU